rnacentral:rRNA from 1 species
GUAGUCUCGCACAGAUGCAUAUCAAUAAGCGGAGGAAAAGAAACUAACAAGGAUUCCCCUAGUAACGGCGAGUGAAGCGGGAAGAGCUCAAAUUUGAAAUCUUAAAGGGUUUCCCUUUACGAAUUGUAGUUUAAAGAAGUGUUUUCUGUUGAGGUUUUGGUAAAAGUUCUUUGGAAUAGGACAUCAUAGAGGGUGAGAAUCCCGUAUUUGACCUUUACUUUCAACUUUGUGAUACACUUUCAAAGAGUCGGAUUGUUUGGGAAUGCAGUCCAAAAUGGGUGGUAAAUUUCAUCUAAAGCUAAAUAUUGGCGAGAGACCGAUAGCGAACAAGUACCGUGAGGGAAAGAUGAAAAGAACUUUGAAAAGAGAGUUAAACAGUACGUGAAAUUGUCAAAAGGGAAGCGUUUGACACCAGUGUUGUUUUUCUGAAAAUCAAUUAAAGAACUGUUUAUGCUAAGUUGUUUAGACUUUAUCAGCUAUCUGUUUAGUUUUGAGCUUUUCUUUAAUGCACUUUUCAGUUAGCAAGCCAACAUCAAUUUCUUUUGCUGUAAAAAAGCUUGAGGAAGGUGGCUUGAGAUUCGUCUUAAGUGUUUAUAGCCUCUUGCCUAUGCAGUCGGAGAGAUUGAGGUCUGCAGCGUAGAUCCUUCGGGGCUAAAUGCAUUUGUGCUAAGUUAUAGCAUUUUAUAGACAACUUGUUGACUAUGAUUUGUCUUGUAGCAUUACUCGCUUAUGUUAUUUUACCUACGCUUAGGAUGUUGAUCUGUAGUGCGUGCGC